AAACAUAGGCAGCCAUUAAUGAUAACCACCGGUAGACGCCCAUUUUUAUCAGUGACGUUCUAGAAUCAAGUGUGUCAUGUCGUUAUUUUUUCCCUAAAAGAAUCCAAGGACAGUAUUUUAAUUUUAUAGGCAUUUAUCUAUGAUGUUGUGAACAAUCUUGGAUCCAUGGCAGCUCGAUUUAUUUUUCUCCCAACUCAGGAGAGCAGCUAUUUUUAUUUUGCCCAAUUGUUAAACAGACACAUCCCAAUUGAGCAGCAGCCACGCCAAGUUCCAUUAUUGUUGCCUUUUGACAAUACAAUCAAGACAAUGUAAUCUGACUGGAUGGAUGUAGGAAGAAACCGGAUGCAUGUUUUGUUAUGGGUUUUAUGAACUUGAUGGAAAUGAAAGCUUACUAAAGGGUGCAGAAAUGACGUAAGGAAUAAGAGCAUUCUGCCAACGGUAAUUACGACCGAUGAUUUCAUUUCGAAGUUCUUUGAUCGACUGGAUCCCGGAAAUAUCGCCUUUAAACAUAUCGGUUGCGUAACGAGGUGCUACUUAAUUCGAACUGAAGAAUCAUCCACAGCUUGUGGUUUAUUAAUGACCAAUAUUAGAAUUUGUGAUCAAAGCCGUUGUGUGGAAUGAUACCUACCAUGCUUGAAGAUGAAUAUGACGAUAGACGGAUGCGGUUAACAUGAAACAUCUAUCAAUACAUACUACAUCUUCCUCGGCACUUGGGGUGAGUAUUUAAUGUUAACGCCAGAUGUUCGUCUUCCCGUGCGUGGUCAAAGGCCCGACGGGUGACCGAAGGCCCCAACAUCCCUCACAAAAUCCUUCCUUAAGUCCACCUUUUUACCCAAUCCCGUGAGUUUAACCAAGUACAAAGUAAAGUUAAGAGUAAAUUAAUAUUAUUAGAAAAAAGGGUAGUUACAUUACACACCAUUUAAAACAUUAUUACAUUAGAUUCUUCAAAAAAGGAAAAUGAACAAUGGCGGGGUAAUUUGGGAAGUGGAGUUCUAGCCAAUCUCUUGUUGAUUUUCUCCGUCGGAAUGAUUCUUGUGUAUCUCUUUUUAGGAGUGGACGCUGUUGAGCAGGUUUCUAUUGGUGAUGGCUUCGGGAUUGUCUGAGCCUUGAUUUCUUUAUUGAUUCUCUCCAAUAGGGUCUGUGGUCUUGGGGGUAUUGCUUUUGACGGCCCGGGUUGAGGUUCUGGUGGAUUUCUAACUGCUGGCUUUUGUGUUGCUUUUGCCCGUGCUUGCUCUCGGAUCCGGAUUUUUUCCUUUUCUCUCCGGAUUUGGGAGGCCUCCAGUAUUAACUUUGCUUUUAACUCAGCCUCUUGAGUUGCUUUUUGGACUGCGGCAAUUACUGCCGCGUGUGAGGCUCGAACCCUCUAUAGUGCGUCCAGCUGCGUUUUCUCCUUGUUGCUCAGCAACGGCGCGGUGUUCAUGGAUUCCGGCACCGGCCUCGAACAUGGACUACUACAUCUAGAGGACGAGACUCUUCGAGGUUUCCUAUGUCGGCCAUAUAUUUGUAAUUUCCUUACAGGAGAAAGGGAAGAAAGUCUGUUUCACCGGUGCUACCUAGCGGCCAAGUUCCAGAAGCUCUUACAACUAAACGUCUGCGACCGGCAAAAUUUGAAACAUUUUUUGAAAAUCUUUCGUCUCUGUUUUCAACCUAUUUACAUAAUUUUCUAACGUUGGGAAACAUACAUAUAAAAAACAGUU